UGCAAGUCGAGGGGAAACGGCAUUAAGUGCUUGCACUUUUUGGACGUCGACCGGCGCACGGGUGAGUAUCGCGUAUCCAACCUGCCCAUUACUUGGGGAUAACCCGUUGAAAGACGGACUAAUACCCGAUGCAGUCCAUUGAAGACAUCUGAAGCGGACGAAAGAUUUUAUCGGUAUUGGAUGGGGAUGCGUCCGAUUAGCUUGUUGGCGGGGUAACGGCCCACCAAGGCAUCGAUCGGUAGGGGUUCUGAGAGGAAGGUCCCCCACAUAGGAACUGAGACACGGUCCUAACUCCUACGGGAGGCAGCAGUGAGGAAUAUUGGUCAAUGGGCGCUAGCCUGAACCAGCCAAGUAGCGUGCAGGAUGACGGCCCUAUGGGUUGUAAACUGCUUUUAUGCGGGGAUAAAGUCACUCACGUGUGAGUGUUUGCAGUUACCGCAUGAAUAAGGACCGGCUAAUUCCGUGCCAGCAGCCGCGGUAAUACGGAAGGUCCCGGCGUUAUCCGGAUUUAUUGGGUUUAAAGGGAGUGUAGGCUGUUUGAUA
rnacentral:rRNA from 1 species